AGCUCUUUAUUGAUCCGUUUCUAAUGCAAGUGAUGACAGGAAGUUGUUUCACAGACGUUUUGGACACUAGUUGCUGAGAAUAUUGGAAAGACGAGGCCAAUUAAUUUUUUUUUGGCUUUAGACUGAAGUCAUAUGGGUUUACAAUUUCAGCUUCUAUCAUCUGUUGAUGUGUUAAACCACAUACACUUUAUGGACAAAAGUUUGUGGAGAAUUCGGUGUAAGAUUCAUGUGUGCUUCUUUUUUCUUUUCACAUUUAGUCAUCAUUUUCUGUUCUAAUAACCUCCAUUCUUAUGGGAAGAUGUUAGAUUUUGUGGAGAAAAUUCAUUCAGCCACAAUGGUGUUGGUAAAGUGAGUUGAGGAGGUUCUUGGGGUGCGGUCAGUGUGAGCUCAACAGGAGAUCUUCCACUCCAAACCAUGUAAAGCAUGUCUUCAUGGUGCUGGCUUUGUGCCCAGGGGCAUUGUCAUGCUGGAACAGAUUUGGGUCUCCAAGUUCAAGUGAAAGGAAAAUUGAAUGCAUCCAAAGAAAUUUUCUAUAAUUUUGUGCCUUAAGCUUUGUAGUAAAGGUUUGGAGAAAAAGCAAAUAUGGAAAAAUCCUAAUACUUUUGUCCAUAAUGUGUAAACUAUAACAUAUUUUAUAUCAGGUAAUAUGUGUCCAAAACUAUUGGAAUAUGCGACUGAUAAAUUGUUACAUUGUUUAAUUGACUGUUCACAAAAUAUACAGCUCUACAACAUUUGGUUGUAGACAAAACAAAAAUGUUGAAUGUCCUGUGAAGAGAAAAUACCACAGGAGUACUGAGCAACAGACACUGAAUGAGCUGGUCAAGUAAAACCACAACAGCUAAAAAACAAGAUACAUUGUGUGGAGAAAAAUCUAAACAAAAGGACAGUCAAGGAAUGAAAUCCACCUUUCUGUCUCAAUUGUCUUGUGUGUAUUUAUCCCUGAUGAGCAGCCUUGGCGACUGUGGGAAGGAAAAACCUCCCUAAGAUGUUAUGAGGAAGAAACCUUGAGAGGAACCAGACUCAAAAGGGGAACCCAUCCUCUUCGAAAGAGAUUGAAACUAUGCAAGGCAGCAUCAAAAAACUUCGAGACUAGUUUUGUAAUACGCACAGUCACAGUGAGCACCGACCUUCAUAAGUCAGAGCACCAAAAGACAUAGCUGUCUACAUUAUGUGUACAUGCUAUUCUGACCACAAGCUCUCCUCACACACGAGUUUCUUGCUGGAAACAUGAUCUUACUUCCACAUCCACCCUACUCUCCAGAUUUGACGCUUGCAGACUUUGCUCUCCUCUCAAAGAUAAAGAUUAGCUCAAAAGUCUUGACACCCUUGUGAAGAUCCGGCGCGAAUAGCAGAAGGCCCUUGACACGCUUCAAAAAGAAGACCGGACACAUUCCAGUGGCAGGAACUCUGGGAGCGAUGUAUUGCUGUACAAGGGGACUAUUUUAAAGGUGACAGCGUGUACAUAAUAAAGUACAUUAAUGUACACAGCACUAGUCUCAGAACUUUUUGAUACCACCUCGUAAAUGGUUAAAAAGUACUGUAUGAUCCAUAAUUCACAUAUAAAAAUAUGUAAUUGGCACACCACUGUGGUAAAAACUGGGGGUAAACACCAAACCGGCGAUGUUGCUUUCAGAAAUCCGGCAGAUUAAACCACUUCCUUUGCUUACCCACAAUGCCUUUGUCUCAAGCUUUACUUAUCUCGCAAACAUUCUCGCUGUCUUUCAUACAAACGCUUCUCGCUAAACCUCCUACUCCUCCUCCCUUCGCAUUCCCAUAAUGCCCCUCUCUCCCACUCUCUCUCUCUCUCUAGCUCUCCACACAUGUCUUCCAUACUGGGUUUUGUUUUCCUCUCAUGGAGUUUUGGCAGCAGUCCAAGCGAUACCAUUCGGUCUCCUUUCACCAUGAGCUUAGAGACCGUGCCAACGCCUUUACCCGGACCACAAACACCUCACCAGUGAACACUGCCAAUGGCCAGAAAGAAAGAGAGAAUGAAAACAGGCAGAGGGUGGAAGAGCCUGACAAAAGAAUACCACAGGAGGGGACGGCGCAAAUUGAAAAAAAAAAAAAAAACUACAACGGGAGUUCUCGGUAUCCGGACAAACUCAAGAAAAGGAGAUGAUAUCUAUCCGCGUUUUCCGAUUUCGGAAAGGAACGCAAUAUGGAUUAGGGACUCCAAGGACACCUUUUUUUCAAUCAACUUUCCGAGAAGGUAGGAAAGCAGAUUGGCCACAUAAAUACCAAAGGAGAAAGUAUUCCUUUGGACUACCGUUACACGUGGCUAUCUUUCCGUCGGUGUUGAACCCGUGCCACGUUGUCAGUCUAGAGUUGGCGAGAAAUGCCAACUGGCUGCGGACUAGCAGCGCUAUAAGGUGGGCAUAUGGCUGUGCUCUGAUUGGCUGGAUGGCUACCGCAGGUGGAAAUUUGGCUACGUUCACAUUGUCCAGAUCCUGCACAGCGCCGCGCGUCUGUAGGAAUCUUCCGGAACAUUCUGGCACUGCUGGGUUUUGGGAAGAGGUGGAUUAAAAUAGCUGAGGAGAGGGAAAUUGGCCGGACAAGCAGCGAUCUAUCCACACAUGUACGGCAGCCCUGGAUGCCGCAGUUACCCGCAUCUACUCCGCCAUGAAGCAGAGACUUCUCAAUCCACACACACACACCACAUGUUCUGUUCACACCCGUAUCCAGGCAACCCUUGCCGGUUGCCAUGGAGAGAACCCCCUCCCUCUUCAAUCACCCCACCUUGCCAACACAAACAUCCUCAGCUACUGCUGGCAAGAUGGAGGCAUGCAUGUCUGAAGGAACUGCAGGAGAAUUCUGAUGGGCCUCAGACUCUCACUCAAUUAUACCCAUCCACCAAACACACACAGCCCCAGGAACAAGAAGGACAGAAGGGAUGAGGCCUGUGGUGCUUCAGAGGCAUCAGAGGCAAAAGGCUCAAAUCCUUUUGAUCGAUUUUUCUAUCCGGGUCAAAUAAAUGAAUUAAAAGUG